rnacentral:rRNA from 1 species
AACGAACGCUGGCGGCAGGCCUAACACAUGCAAGUCGAGCGAGGACUUCGGUUCUAGCGGCGGACGGGUGAGUAACGCGUGGGAAUGUGCCCUUCUCUACGGAAUAGCCCUGGGAAACUGGGAGUAAUACCGUAUACGCCCUUUUGGGGAAAGAUUUAUCGGAGAAGGAUCAGCCCGCGUUGGAUUAGGUAGUUGGUGGGGUAAUGGCCUACCAAGCCGACGAUCCAUAGCUGGUUUGAGAGGAUGAUCAGCCACACUGGGACUGAGACACGGCCCAGACUCCUACGGGAGGCAGCAGUGGGGAAUGUUAGACAAUGGGGGCAGCCCUGAUCGAGCCAUGCCGCGGGAGUGAUGAAGGCGUUAGGGUUGUAAAGCUCUUUCAGCUGGGAAGAUAAUGACGGUACCAGCAGAAGAAGCACCGGCUAACUCCGUG